rnacentral:rRNA from 1 species
AGACCCGAAACCCGGUGAUCUAGCCAUGGGCAGGUUGAAGGUUGGGUAACACUAACUGGAGGACCGAACCGACUAAUGUUGAAAAAUUAGCGGAUGACCUGUGGCUGGGGGUGAAAGGCCAAUCAAACCGGGAGAUAGCUGGUUCUCCCCGAAAGCUAUUUAGGUAGCGCCUCGUGAAUUCAUCUCCGGGGGUAGAGCACUGUUUCGGCUAGGGGGCCAUCCCGGCUUACCAACCCGAUGCAAACUGCGAAUACCGGAGAAUGUUAUCACGGGAGACACACGGCGGGUGCUAACGUCCGUCGUGAAGAGGGAAACAACCCAGACCGCCAGCUAAGGUCCCAAAGUCAUGGUUAAGUGGGAAACGAUGUGGGAAGGCCCAGACAGCCAGGAUGUUGGCUUAGAAGCAGCCAUCAUUUAAAGAAAGCGUAAUAGCUCACUGGUCGAGUCGGCCUGCGCGGAAGAUGUAACGGGGCUAAACCAUGCACCGAAGCUGCGGCAGCGAACGUAUCACUUAAAGCGAUUCAGCGGGUUACGAUUGACGGAGCGAAGCGACGUCAAAGCGUAUACAAAGUCGAGUCGGUUUAAGGAUACGUUCGUUGGGUAGGGGAGCGUUCUGUAAGCCUGCGAAGGUGGCCUGUGAGGGUUGCUGGAGGUAUCAGAAGUGCGAAUGCUGACAUAAGUAACGAUAAAGCGGGUGAAAAGCCCGCUCGCCGGAAGACCAAGGGUUCCUGUCCAACGUUAAUCGGGGCAGGGUGAGUCGACCCCUAAGGCGAGGCCGAAAGGC